rnacentral:hammerhead_ribozyme from 1 species
AUGCGUCUGACGAGUCCGAAAUAGGACGAAACACGCAUCUUGGAU